UUUCCAUAGGUGAAUCUGUGGAAGGAUCAUUGUCGUGACCCUGACCAAAACAAACUGCGCACGCGUCAUCCAAUCCGCCGGUGAUGGCAUCGUCCGUCGCUCGACCAAGUCCUAGACUGCCUCCCCUCCUUGGAGUGGGGGCUCGGGGUAAAAGAACCCAUGGUGCCGAAGGCGUCAAGGAAAAUGUGCCUAACCUGGGGGCAUGGCUAGCUUGCUAGUUGUCCCCCGUGUUGCCAAGCUAUUUAAUCCACACGACUCUCGGCAACGGAUAUCCCGGCUCUC
rnacentral:misc_RNA from 1 species